GCGCCAAUGGUUUAGUGGUAGAAUUCCUGUUUCCCAAACAUGUGGCCCGGGUUCGAUUCCCGGUUGGCGCA
rnacentral:tRNA from 1 species